GUGAUUCCCAAAAGGAGAGAGAUGUGCUUGACAAGCUCCAACCUUGCAUAAAUUUGGAGAAACUGACUAUCAGAUUCUAUGGAGGAACUAGCUUCCCAAACUGGUUAGGAAGCUCUAAUUCGUUCUCUAACAUACAGUUCAUGUGUAUCAGUGAUUGUAGGUAUUGUUUGUCCUUGCCAAGUUUUGGGCAGCUACCCACUCUUAAAGAGCUAUGUAUGAUUUUGCUGCAGUACAGUGCUUGCCCAAAAUGCAAUAUCUUGAACGCUUGACUCUCAGCAAUUGCCCAACCGUGUCGUCAUUAGAGUUCCUAUCACAUGAGAUGAUGGCCGAAUUGAUGUCACUUGAGUAUUUGGAUAUAGAAAAGAGUUUCGUUCAGUGAGGUCGUUCCCGUUGGGCGUUUUCCCCAAACUUUCAACUCUUGUAAUCAAUGGCUGUGAGAAUCUGGAAUCCUUUUCUGUUGAAGGAGUUGAUCAAAACCUAAGCCAUCUCAACCACCUGCGAAUCUACGACUGUCCAAAUCUGGCGUCUUUUCCCGACGGAGGACUGCCCACUCCCAACUUGAGACACUUGCAAGUCAAUGGAUGCAAGAAUUUGAAGUCAUUCCCCGAACGAAUUCGCACCCUCACCGCCCUUGGAACGUUGGGCCUACACAAUCUUCCAAAUCUUGUGUCAUUUGCCUAUGGGGGUUUGCCUCCCAACCUGCAGUAUUUGUAUGUUAGAAAUUGCGACAGAGUGAGGCCUUCAGUGGAGUGGGGAUUGCAAGGACUUGUCUCGCUUACAGAAGUUAGCAUUGGUGGCGAGAUCUGGGCAAUGUUGCUCAAGGAACAGCUGCUCCCUACUACUCUUAACUCUGUCCGCAUCGCUGGACUAUCAAGUCUGAAAUCGUUGGACGGAGAAGGACUUCGGCACCUCACUUAUCUUCAAAAGCUAUCUAUUUAUGGGUGCCCAAGUCUGGAGUUCCUUCCAGCAGAGGGACUUCAACACCUCACUUCUCUUCAACAGGUAUCCAUUUCUGAGUGUCCAAAUCUUCAGUUCCUUCCAGAAGACGGUUUGCCACCAUCUCUUUCUUUCCUGGAGAUCUACUCUUGUUCCACCCUAGAGAAGAGGUACCAGAACAGGACCGGACGACGUUGGGCCAAGAUAUCUCACAUUCCUUGCAUACAGAUAAAUGACGAAGUCGUCGUAUGAGCUCUCUCAUACAAACUUGUGCUUUUCGGCAUUUCACUCUCUGCAUGGAAGACACACUAUCCCUACAUCUUCAACAUUUUCGGAUGGUAUGGAGAGGAUCAAUCCAGCAUGAAACCUACUUUCGACAUAGGAGGCACAAACUUGCAUCUACAGUUUCCUCCUCCAUUGGCAUGCAUGCUGUCUCUUUUUCGUUAUUCAGAUUCCAGCUUGACGCUUGCGUAGAUACGUUAAGCUCUUGUGGUUCCGAUCACAAGAUCGUAGCUGACAAAUGGAAAGAUGUGUGCAAUUAAAUCUUUCUAGGUGUGUUUUCCGAUGAUUCUUUUCGUUUCCGAUGAUCCUUAAUCUUUUGAGUAUCUAGCAUCAUCAAAAUAGCAGUCAUCAUCUCUCUCAACCAUAGAUGCCCGUGUUGAACAACAAUCAGACCAACGGAGUCCUGCUCUUGGCUCUCAUUUUUUUAGAUCUAUAUGGACCAAAUGCAUAUUAACCACAUGAUUAUAUUACUUCCAACGAUUUGCUUUUUCAUUUUUUCUUUCCAAAUAUCAAAGAUUAAAACUUGG